rnacentral:rRNA from 1 species
UACAGAGGUCUCAAGCGUUGUUCGGAUUCAUUGGGCGUAAAGGGUGCGUAGGCGGCGCGGUAAGUCGGGUGUGAAAUCUCGGGGCUUAACUCCGAAACUGCAUUCGAUACUACCGUGCUUGAGGACUGGAGAGGAGACUGGAAUUUACGGUGUAGCGGUGAAAUGCGUAGAUAUCAGGAGGAACACCUAUUGCGAAGGCAGCUCGCUGGGACGUAACUGACGCUGAGACGACGAAGCGUGGGAGCAAACAGG